AGUGGAGCCUGCUAAUCUGUAGGCUGAGGUUGUGGUAGGGGGGAAUACGUGAGGUCUGCUAAUCUGCUAAUCUGUAUGCUGAGGUUGUGGUAGGGGGGAAUAAGUGAGGUCUGCUAAUCUGCUAAUCUGCUAAUCUGUAGGCUGAGGUUGUGGUAGGGGGGAAUAAGUGAGGUCUGCUAAUCUGCUAAUCUGUAGACUGAGGUUGUGGUAGAGGGGGGAAUAAGUGAGGUCUGCUAAUCUGCUAAUCUGUAGACUGAGGUUGUGGUAGGGCUAAGUGAGGUCUGCUAAUCUGCUAAUCUGUAGGCUGAGGUUGUGGUUGGGCUAAGUGAGGUCUGCUAAUCUGUAGGCUGAGGUUGUGGUGGGGGGGGAUAAGUGAGGUCUGCUAAUCUGCUAAUCUGUAUGCUGAGGUUGUGGUAGGGGGGGGGAUAAGUGAGGCUGUGUGUGUGUGUGUGUGUGUGUGUGUGUGUGUGUGUGUGUGAUCUGUAGGCUGAGGUUGUGGUAGGGGGGGGAAUAAGUGAGGCUGUGUGUGUGUGUGUGAUCUGUAUGCUGAGGUUGUGGUAGGGGGGGGGGAUAAGUGAGGCUGUGUGUGUGUGUGUGUGUGUGUGUGU
ensembl:lncRNA